AGAGUUUGAUCAUGGCUCAGGAUGGACGCUGGCGGCGUGCCUAAUACAUGCAAGUCGAACGCUUUGUUUUUAAUUGAUAUGAAGAGCUUGCUCUGAUUUGAUUUUAUCUGACAAAGAGUGGCGAACGGGUGAGUAACACGUGGGUAACCUACCUCUUAGCAGGGGAUAACAUUUGGAAACAAGUGCUAAUACCGUAUAACACUAACAACCGCAUGGUUGUUAGUUGAAAGAUGGUUCUGCUAUCACUAAGAGAUGGACCCGCGGUGCAUUAGCUAGUUGGUAAGGUAAUGGCUUACCAAGGCGAUGAUGCGUAGCCGAGUUGAGAGACUGAUCGGCCACAAUGGGACUGAGACACGGCCCAUACUCCUACGGGAGGCAGCAGUAGGGAAUCUUCCACAAUGGGCGCAAGCCUGAUGGAGCAACGCCGCGUGUGUGAUGAAGGGUUUCGGCUCGUAAAACACUGUUAUAAGAGAAGAACGACAUUGAGAGUAACUGUUCAGUGUGUGACGGUAUCUUAUCAGAAAGGAACGGCUAAAUACGUGCCAGCAGCCGCGGUAAUACGUAUGUUCCAAGCGUUAUCCGGAUUUAUUGGGCGUAAAGCGAGCGCAGACGGUUAUUUAAGUCUGAAGUGAAAGCCCUCAGCUCAACUGAGGAAGGGCUUUGGAAACUGGAUGACUUGAGUGCAGUAGAGGAAAGUGGAACUCCAUGUGUAGCGGUGAAAUGCGUAGAUAUAUGGAAGAACACCGGUGGCGAAAGCGGCUUUCUGGACUGUAACUGACGUUGAGGCUCGAAAGUGUGGGUAGCAAACAGGAUUAGAUACCCUGGUAGUCCACACCGUAAACGAUGAGUGCUAGAUGUUCGAGGGUUUCCGCCCUUGAGUGUCGCAGUCU
rnacentral:rRNA from 1 species